AAACGAGAGUUUGAUCCUGGCUCAGAAUCAACGCUGGCGGCGUGCCUAACACAUGCAAGUCGAACGAGAAAAUUCAGGUGUAGCAAUACAUCUGGGUGAGUAAAGUGGCGAACGGGUGAGUAACACGUAGCUAACCUGCCCUGAAGCGGGGGAUAACCUGGGGAAACUCGGGCUAAUACCGCGUGAUCUUCUGGUGGCGCGAGCCGCCGGGAGCAAAGGCCCGCAAGGGUCACUUCGGGAGGGGGCUGCGGCCGAUUAGCUAGUUGGCGGGGUAACGGCCCACCAAGGCGAUGAUCGGUAGCCGGCCUGAGAGGGCGCACGGCCACACUGGCACUGAAACACGGGCCAGACUCCUACGGGAGGCAGC
rnacentral:rRNA from 1 species